GUUUGAUCCUGGCUCAGAGCGAACGUUAGCGGCGCGCCUAACACAUGCAAGUCGCACGAGAAACGGAGCAAUCCGCGGUACAGUGGCGCACGGGUGAGUAACACGUGGAUGACCUUCCCUGGAGUGGUGGAUAACCUGCCGAAAGGCGGGCUAAUACAGCAUGGGACCACGACGCUUUGGCGAUGUGGUGAAAGCGGGCCUCUAUAUAUAAGCUCGCGCUCCGGGACGGGUCCGCGUCCCAUCAGCUAGUUGGUGAGGUAACGGCUCACCAAGGCAACGACGGGUAGCUGGUCUGAGAGGAUGGCCAGCCACACUGGAACUGAGACACGGUCCAGACUCCUACGGGAGGCAGCAGUGGGGAAUCUUGCGCAAUGGGCGAAAGCCUGACGCAGCGACGCCGCGU
rnacentral:rRNA from 1 species